GAUGAACGCUGACAGAAUGCUUAACACAUGCAAGUCUUUGGCGAAUCUGUGCUUGCACAGGCUAGCCAAGGCGGACGGGUGAGUAACGCGUAAAGAACCUGCUCUGCAGACAGGGAUAACAGACGGAAACGACUGAUAACACCUGAUACAGUUGCCGGCACGCAUGUGCCUGGCAAUGAAAAGAGAUGCUGCAGGAGAGCUUUGCGUCCUAUUAGCUUGUUGGUGAGGUGACGGCUCACCAAGGCGAUGAUAGGUAGCCGGCCUGAGAGGGUGAACGGCCACAAGGGGACUGAGAUACGGCUCUUACUCCUACGGGAGGCAGCAGUGGGGAAUAUUGGACAAUGGGGGCAACCCCGAUCCAGCAAUUCUGUGUGCACGAAGAAGGUUUUCGGAUUGUAAAGUGCUUUCAGCAGGGAAGAAGAAAGUGACGGUACCUGCAGAAGAAGCGACGGCUAAAUACGUG
rnacentral:rRNA from 1 species